rnacentral:lncRNA from 1 species
AGAAGCAGGGAGAGCAAUCGUUCCCUCUGAGUACUUCUCAACAAGUGGUUGACAUGACAGCUAAGAUUGUGGUACAGUGGCUACUAGAAUACAAUCCUAGAAUCAUAUCAGCCCAUGAUUAGCUAUGAAAAAAACUAGAUCUCUUAUAGACACAUGCAAAAAGAAAAUUCUGGAGCUAUCUGAGAACAUUCAGUAUGAAUGCUUUGCGAUCCCCCAAAAGAGGAAGAAGAUGAACAGGUAAGUAUAUUCAAACUUAUUUGAGCACAAUACCUUUUUUUUUUUUUUUUUCAGAACACUCAGAAGACUUACAUUUCUUAUAUAUAGUUUGAGAAUUCAAAAUGAAAGAAAUAAUACAGAACUGUUAGAUACUCUAUUGUCACAGAGACUUUGUAUAUAACUUUUCC